UACGUAGGGUGCGAGCGUUGUCCGGAAUUAUUGGGCGUAAAGGGCUCGUAGGCGGUUUGUCGCGUCGGGAGUGAAAACUCAGGGCUUAACCCUGAGCCUGCUUCCGAUACGGGCAGACUAGAGGUAUGCAGGGGAGAACGGAAUUCCUGGUGUAGCGGUGAAAUGCGCAGAUAUCAGGAGGAACACCAAUAGCGAAGGCAGCUCGCUGGGACGUUACUGACACUAAGGCGCGAAAGCGUGGGGAGCGAACAGG
rnacentral:rRNA from 1 species